CUGGAGAACGCAACCGUGAGCCAAGAACACUAGGAGCUGCCAGACUCCUCUCCAUCCUCUGAAGGGAGCAGCACCACCUGCUGCUACAGUAAUCUUAUCCUGAUUGUGUUGGUUUUGGAUUUCUAGAAACUAUAAGAGAGAGACUUCCUAUUGUUUUAAGCCACUGCGUUUGUGAUCAUUUGUUACCACAGCCACGGGGAGCUAACACAGGAAUCAAUCCCAGGAAUCAACAUUCUGAGCUCUGAUGUCGCCUCUCCUACAAUGCUUUGUCCUGCAGGUGCAUGUAGCACAGCUGUCCUUGUCUAUAGGAGCCGUGUGGGUAGAGGAAUUCCUGCAGCUUGGAUUUCACCCGGCUCCAUUACCACUCCCAGAGAGGAGAGGCUGGAGUUCAUGGCUGUCUUCUGACAAACUUCCUAAUUAAUCUGCUAAAGAUCAGAUGAGGCCUAAUAGGAGCUGAAGACAGUGUGCUGGGACCAUCCCUCCUUGCCACGCCCCCUUCCCCCUCCCGUGUGUGUGUGUGUGUGUGUGUGUGUGUGUGUGUGUGUGUGCGCGCGCGCGCGCUUUUGGGUGUGUGUUGAAGUGAGAGGAUGCUAAGCUCAGGCCACUAGCAGCUCACGAGGCAUUCCCUCUGCAGAUGCUGCUGCCACCUGCCUUUCUGACUUGGGGGAGAAGGAAUUUUCUCUUUGGCUUAGAAGUUUAAAAAGAGCCACCACUGUUUCCUGCCCAGACACAACAGAGAAGUAAGCUAUCAGCUGCCCGCCUUCCCAGGGAACUAAGGGUUCGUUCUGGAAGGAAUUUUCUCAUGGAGAAUGGACUGAAUUUUCUCACUUCUCUUUGAGAACCCAGCGUCCUAGGACUAUCGGGAGCUAAAGAUGCUCUGGUGGCACAGGGCGGUCGGUCUAGGCAGGGGGUGCUGUUGAAGCCGGCAGGAACAUGGACAACAUUCUGUUACUGGAGACAUCAGCUGGCAGCUCCACCGACAGAUGUGGUUCAUGUGGAGAAAUACAGCUGAGGACAGCUGAAUGAGCCAAGGGAAGUCUCUCUCAUCGGCUAUGUCCUGCGUCCGCAUGCCUUCUCGGCUUCACACUCUGCCGCUUCGGCCCCUUUCUCUGGAGGCUGGGAAGGCCCAGGACUGGGCCGCUCUCUUCCUCCAGGCCCAGCUCGGGAGGCUGAGAGACACCAUUAAAGAGGAUAAUUUGUUGA